CCCUGCUUGCCUUCACUCAACCCCAAAACACAGAACCUUUCAUUACAAGAUCUGAACCUGACAGACAAUCCAAGAAAUUACAAAAAUUUGGUACAUUCACAAAAACAGAUAAGUCUGUUUAUACAGGUUCUGAAGAUUUCUCAGGUUUAUUUUUCUGACACUUCAGUGGUCAUCCAUAGAAGACUGCAUGCUCAGGAACAUCCAGGCUGAGACAACACGGGUCCAUUUUGUUUUACUGGAGAAAACUGGAAGUGCUUUCUCAAAAUGCCUUUUAAUUUCAUCAUUCAACUAGCACAGUGCAAUGUCAGCAGGCAGGAGCCAAGAUGCUGAAGUGUUCAAAGCACCUGAUGUACUUUAAAUUCAAAAAGAAACAUGAUACAAUAUCUAGUUAACCUUGGUGUAUCCAGAAGGUGAACCCGGAUUUCAGGAUUGCAUAAGUAUCUAUGUCACCCUUGAAGGGGGGACUGAAGCUCUGGAGUUCCUUGUAGAAGGUAGAAAACACUAGGAAGCGACUUCCUAGAAAGAAUUUAGUCCAGCAGCAGAGUUGCCAAUCAACAUCCAUAUUGCCUGCAUCAUAAUAGUGUAUCAUUAGGCAGGACUAACUAUCUUUACAAUAGAAAAUCAG